GGGGAUUUAGCUCAGCGGCAUAAGCGCCUGCCUUGCAAGCAGGCAGUCUUGAGUUCAAUCUCUG
rnacentral:tRNA from 1 species